rnacentral:rRNA from 1 species
UACGUAGGGUGCGAGCGUUAAUCGGAAUUACUGGGCGUAAAGCGUGCGCAGGCGGUGAUGUAAGACAGAUGUGAAAUCCCCGGGCUCAACCUGGGAACUGCAUUUGUGACUGCAUCGCUGGAGUGCGGCAGAGGGGGAUGGAAUUCCGCGUGUAGCAGUGAAAUGCGUAGAUAUGCGGAGGAACACCGAUGGCGAAAACAAUCCCCUGGGCCUGCACUGACGCUCAUACACGAAAGCGUGGGGAGCAAACAGG